UUGGAGGGCAAGUCUGGUGCCAGCAGCCGCGGUAAUUCCAGCUCCAAUAGCGUAUAUUAAAGUUGUUGCAGUUAAAAAGCUCGUAGUUGAAUUUCGGGAUUAGUACGUCGGUCGUGCCUUAGGUACGUACUGGUGUUACUGGUUUCUACCUUCUGACGAACCAUCAUGUCAUUAAUUUGGUGUGGUGGAGAAUCAGGACUGUUACUUUGAAAAAAUUAGAGUGUUUAAAGCAGGCUCGCGCUUGAAUACAUUAGCAUGGAAUAAUGAAAUAGG
rnacentral:rRNA from 1 species